AACACUUCAAAAACCAUAAGGUGAUAUUAUGUAUAUUAUAUGUAAUAAAUACAAUUAUACCAUCUUCUUCUUCUUUCUUCUGCAUGAACAUCUUCUCUCUUCUUUCUUUUUUUCUUCCACUACCACCACAACCACCACUACCUUUAAAGCCAUUGUCGCCGGAAAAUCGUAUCCGAAGCCACCACCGCCGAAAAAUCGUCACCGGAGCCAUCAUCACCGGAAAAUCGUCACCGAAGCCAUCGUCACCAUUGUACUAUUCUAUUUUGCUGCUAGAUUUUUGAAAAUUGAAACUUGAGAUGAUUUCAUUUCGUUUAAUGAUUUUUGUUUGAGUUCCAUGUAUAGUAUCUUAAGGUUUAGUUUUCUUAGAUCAAUAUAUAUUUGUACUUAUCUUUUCGUUACCGGCACCGCCAUUGUCGUCACCAUCGCCACUGACACCGCCAUUGUUGCCGUCACCAUCACCACCAGCACCGCCACUGUUGUCGUCACCAUCGCCACCGGCACCGCCACUGUUGUCUCACUAUCGUCACCGGCACCGCCACUGUUAUCAUCACUAUUACCAUCGGCACCGCCACUGUUGUCGUCACCAUCACCAUCGGUACUGUCAUUGUUACUAUUACCAUCAUCGCCAUCUUCGCCACCAUCACGCUAGCCAACACUUUUGUCUUUUUAUGAAUGUCCAUUAACCGAAAAGAGUGUGAAAGAUCACGUCACUUUUCUUCUCUU